GACGUAGGUGGCGAACGUUAUCCGGAAUUAUUGGGCGUAAAGGGUGCGUAGGUGGCUUGAUAAGUUAGCAGUGGGAAAUCGAGGCUCAACCUCGUGGAAGCUGGUAAUACUGUCAGGCUCGAGUGCAGGAGAGGUUAACGGAACUCCAUGUGGAGCGGUAAAAUGUGUAGAUAUAUGGAAGAACACCAAUAACGGCGAAGGCAGUUAACUAUUCUGCUACUGACAUUGAGGCACGAAAGCGUGGGGAGCAAAACGG
rnacentral:rRNA from 1 species